AGAGUUCUUUCUAAUUUGUUCUGUUCUGUAAUUCGCUUCUGGUUCCUUUGAGAUCUGAUUCCCUUCUCCACUGAUUACUUCGUUUGAUUAAACGGUAAAUCUCCCCCUCAAGUGUGUUUGUUUUUUUGAUCCGAUUCCAACAAGUGUUGUUAAGGAGAUCUGAUUCCAACAAGUGUGUUUGGUUUUUGAUCUGGUCAUUAUGAGUCUGAGUUUGUGUAUUUCUCCCGAUGGAAUGGUUUCUCUUGGCGACAUCUGUGUGUGAUGGUCCUUUGAACCCGUUUCUAUCGACGAGAGGAAUGUCAAGUGCUGUUGUCGGAUUGUGUCACGUUUUGGGUUUUAGACGAUUUGAGUCUCAACUUCUUCCUAAAUGUGCUCCAUAGCGGAGUGGAUAUCGCGUUAGACUCCGAAUCUAAAGAUGAUUGACGAUUCAAUUUUCUUGGCGUCUCCAUCUUCGCAUUGCUACUUGCUUAUCAUUACGUAGCUGCUGAUCCCAAAUAUGAAGCGACUUGAGUAGUGAAAAUUUAGAUGAUGUAAGGCUUUUUUGUAUACUGUUUCAAACAAACUGAGAAGAGAAUAAUAACAGACUAACAGUCCGUUGAGAUUAAAAUGUUGUUAGCAGUUGAUUAACGAAUGAUUCAUUUGACCUUGCGA